rnacentral:rRNA from 1 species
GCUUGCUUUUGAUGGGCGUCGACCGGCGCACGGGUGAGUAACGCGUAUCCAACCUGCCCACCACUUGGGGAUAACCUUGCGAAAGUAAGACCUAAUACCCAAUGAUAUCCCACGAAGGCAUCCGAAUGGGAUUAAGAUUUAUCGGUGAUGGAUGGGGAUGCGUCUGAUUAGCUUGUUGGCGGGGUAACGGCCCACCAAGGCAACGAUCAGUAGGGGGUUCUGAGAGGAAGGUCCCCCCACAUUGGAACUGAGACACGGUCCAAACUCCUACGGGAGGCAGCAGUGAGGAAUAUUGGUCAAUGGGCGAGAGCCUGAACCAGCCAAGUAGCGUGCAGGACGACGGCCCUAUGGGUUGUAAACUGCUUUUAUAAGGGAAUAAAGUGAGUCUCGUGAGACUUUUUGCAUGUACCUUAUGAAUAAGGACCGGCUAAUUCCGUG